rnacentral:lncRNA from 1 species
CAUGCCAGCUGGAUGAAGCUUUUAGGUGUAUCCAUGUAGGGUUUUUAUGUGUUCAAGAAGCUCCAGCUGAUCGACCAACAAUGUCUUCGGUAAUUCGUAUGUUGCAGGGCAAUGAAUCUACAUCUCUUCCACCUUCCAAAGAACCUGCCUUUUCAACACACGGAAAUUCCAAUCUUGUUCGCUCUUCUGAAAUGCCUACCAUUUUUUCUCACAACUCAGUCACCAUGAGUUUGCCAGAAGGGCGAUAGGAGUUGAAAGAGUAGUGACUAGCAAGAGUUGAGAAAAUAGUAUAGUAUAUUAGAAUAAACACCGCGAACCAGAGCUAUUUGUGUGUUUUAUGGUUUUUUGCCUAUCCAAACUAAACUUACAAUAGCAGUAGAUUAAAUUUAUGUUAAGUAUUUUUCAGCUGCAAAUGCAGGCGUAACCGUACUUCAAUAUAUGGUCCGACCGCAUUCCUUGGCACAACCAUAUUUAUAUUAGUUUAAAAUGGAAUGUCACUUGUAUCAAAAGAAUAAAGAUGAGAUUUUUUUACACCUUCUAACUUUCAGAAGACAAAAACUAAAAAACAAGGGUAUGGAACAAAGGAUUUUACAUUACUAUAUCCAUAAUUGAUAUCAUGGAUUUUCCUAGGGUUGGAAUGGAAAAGUUGACAAUCAUCAUAUAGAAUCUACCGAAUGGCAAGUUGAUCAAUUUUUUAUCGAUGAGGAUUUGAACUUGAUGCCUCCUUUAUUAUUAGAAAAUAUCACUAAACACUUUAUGCUCCCGAUCAUGUUAAACUUUUAAGUUUUUUUUACAAGAGGAUUGGGCUGGUGAUGAUGGGCUUUCCGCCAGAAGAGGGGUUGCUGGCCUGCAAGAAUAAUUGGAUUCGAAUCCUCACAUUCCCCCCUGUCGAGCUGGAACACCGUUUGGUACGUGAGACGGGACGGGACGGAACGGGACGAGCCGUUCCGUCCCACGUUUGGUGCGUCUAAAAACUGUGGAACGGGUUGUCCCAUGGAAUGAAAUUUGGCUGAUUUUUUGUUCCACCUCUUCCCCCUGGAACGACCCGUUCCACAUCUGUGGAACACAAAUUUAUAAACAUUUUAUGACAAAAUUUCUUCUUAUCUUUUUCAAUAUUUACAUCAUUCGUUCCAUCCUGUUCCGUCUCGUCCCAUCCCGUCCUAUUCCGUUCCGUCCCAUCCCGUUUGCGUACCAAACGGUACCUCAAUGCACCAUGCAGAUCAAGUCAAUAAUCUCUUAUAUAUCUCUUAUAUAUAAAGCCAGCAUGCCAAUUUGGUGUAAUUGGCUUCGACAAAAAUAUUUGGACCAUAAUGCCUCUAGGCCAAAAACAAAUCAAAACAGCAAAAAUGAUUCCAUAAAAUAAUCCAAGGGUAAUUUUGUAAAUUUAGUUUUUAAUAAACUAAUGCCCUGCCUCUUCUACACUCUUCCAAACCGUUCUUUUCUCAGUUGCAUUCAUACCUCUUCGACCUAUUUUGGGAUUAGGUUUCUCUCAAACCCUAAUUUUUCUCUCCUUCUGAUCUCAUCUCUCUGCUCGCGCCGAUCAGUCGAACACCGUCCAGGAAUGCGUCUCCGAAUUCAUUAGCUUCGUCACCAGCGAGUAAUUUUCACCUCUCUCUCUAUCUCUCUUUCUGUCUCUACUGUUAUUGACUUUGCUUUUCAAUCGGAAUUUUUUGUGUUGAUUUUGAAUUGGGGUUUUUUGGGGUGUCUAGGGCCAGCGAUAAGUGCCAGAAGGAGAAGCGAAGGACCAUCAAAGGCGACGGUUUGUUGUGGGCGAUGGCCACGUUAGGGCUUGAGGACUAUAUCGAGCCCCUCAGGAUUUACUUAGCUAGGUACAUUGAGGUAUUAUUCUUUAACUUUUGCCUUUUAUUCCUCCUUUUCCUUUUACUUUCAAUUCAGUUUACAUUUUAGCAUUUUUCAAAUGGAAAUUUACAGUUUGGUUGUACCAUUUUCUGGGGUUUUUUUUUUUAACUUUCCGUUUUUAAUUUAUUCAAUGGUGUUUUCCUUAUCAGUUCAAUCUAACACUAUCGUCAAAUCUCUUUCUGAACGCUGCUACAGAUGCUUGAUUUCUUCAAGUCGGCAACGAUUGCAGAGGUAAGCUCUCUGAUGAAAUCAUCUACUUUACACUUUAUUUCUUUUUACAUAUGGCUAAAUUUUUUUUUCAUGGAUUUAUGUAUUUGUUUCCUGUGAAUUCGAAUUCAAAUUUGAUGAAUUUUUAUUUGCGUGUUUGUGUUGCUUCUGUUCUUUAGCUACAAGCAAAUUAUCUGCAUAUAAUUAGUAUUUAGGAUCUAAUUUUUUUGGCUUUUCAGGAGCAGCGGCAGGAGGUACCUUUUCUUUUUUCUAAUUUUUAUCCAAGAUAUGAAAAUAUUGUAUGAAUGUUAUGUACGAUUAUCACCAAAUGUAUAUAUCUUUCUUGGAAUUCUUGAGAAAAUCCAAGCUGAAUUCCAUUCUGAUUGAAAGAAAUUUAAUACCACAAAGCUUGGCUCCCGUUCUGAUUUGAAGAAAUUCUUUUCUUGGAUUAAACUACUAGAUUAAUUGUAUUUUGUGGGUUUAAUUAGGGAUGUUUUUAGGGUCUUUUUUUAAGAAUAUAUUGAAUCAGUUUAUUUAUUAUUUACAUUAUUCCAUUGUGAAUGUUUGAAGGUGAUCUGAAUUCACCUGUUGUGAUCACAGUUUGUGAUUUUGCACUCCCUGAUGGCAUGUCACUACUCGAAGCUAGAGAGACUUCUUCAGCCCUUGGUUAGUUAAAGCCUACAUUAGAGUGAAUAUCAUGGAUUCUCGUAUUUAGUAAUAACUUGAUUUAUGCAACCCUCAAGUUUAUUUAGCCAAUAUAAAUUGAACUUUUUCCUGCUUUAAUUUAGGGGCAGUUGCUAUUUCAUCCCACAGAUGGAGACGCUAUUGAUAUUGAGUAAUCUUCGAAGAAAGUCACCUCUUCAGAGAAGUAAUCUGGUAGCAUUUGUUAAGCAAUUUCCAAGGUACGGACUUCACCAAUCCCAGGUUUUAGUUUGUUUCUAAUUUAUUGAGUUUUUAGGGGCAUAUUCUGUAAUUAAAGGGGAAUCAGGGGUCCAAUUUGGUUUCGAAAUCUUGAAUCUGAUCAAAUGAAAGAAUCAAAAUUCAAUUCAAAGAUAAUAUGCCACCAAUCAUAGGACUCUGACUUCCAACUCUGCUGCUGCACUGAAGCAUCAUACUUUUCUUCAUACGUUGGAAACAUAUGCUUUUUUUGUUUGUUUUUUUUUUUACUGAUAUUAGUAGCUUUUUAGGUAGCCGACCCCACUUAGUGGGAAAAGGCUUUGUUGUUGUUGUUGUUAUUAGUAGCUUUUUAGGGUUUAACUAUUGGAUUUCACAGAUUCAUUAUAGACACAUUAAAUAGUUACAUUUUUAAUUCGUAUUUCAUAACUUGGUUGCUUGAUUCUAAUGUUGAUUCGUUACAACAGAAGUGAACUUAUUCUACUUUAAGCAUGGAAUUUUUUCUUUUGUUUUUAUUGUUGUUGCCUUGAUUGUGGUUAUCUGAUUGAUUAAUACUCCAUGAUAUAUUGAGCAAUAUCGUGCGGCUCAAGAAUUUCGUAUGUGUUUACGCGUAUUUUUGUACUCUGAAUAAUUCUAAUCAAAUUCCAUUGCUCCUAAGCUAAGGUCAGAAUUUGUAGCAUAUACUUACCAAUUAUCCAAAGCUGGAUAUUAAGGUCUUUAAGAUUAAUCUCUCUUUGUAUGUGUAGCAUCUGCUUGGAAAAGGUUUCAACUUUAUUUUUUAUUUGUUAGAUGAUCAAUUGAUGUAUUUUAUGAAAGUUGAUCUGCAAGAUGUAAAGAUGAUUUCUUUGUUUAUGUAUACUGUUUAAUUAUAUCAAUGGAAAUUGGUGCUGCUCAUCCCCACAAACAUUUUGUACAUGUGUGGCAUUAAUAUAUUUUGUUUUUUGAUUGAAUUUGUUUUCAUUCAAUGGGGUUAGUGAGCUAAACAGCAAGUCGCUUUUUAAUCGUGUUUAAAUUGAAGUCCUAAUUUCGUUGGUUUGUUCAUAAUUAGUGUGUUAUGUUGUUUUCCUGUGUGUUUUAUGUGUUUGUUAAUUUAUGGGAGUCUUCACAAGAAAUGUUAUGUACAAAAAUAUUUUGCUUCCAUCAAAAUGUGUGAUAAGGUUACAUUCAUUCUUUUAAUGUUUAAUUGACUUUUCAAAUCCACGUAGAUAAAUACAUUUAAAUUGUAUAAGUCGAGCAUAGAAUGCUGUAAUUAUAAAAGGGCCAUCCACACGCGCGUGAGCGUGUGCAGGGAGGCUAGUCUAUAUAUAAAGCCAGCAGCGGGAUGAACAGUAUUUGGUGUCAUUGUCUUUGACAAAAAUUCUACAUCAAAUAAUCCAGGGACAUUUUCGUCAUGUAAACAGUAUUUAAUUAUAAUUUGGGGUUAAUGUCUGUUAGGAUCAUUGGAAUACCCUCGAGGUCAAUUGGGUUACCCUCCUUUUCUUCUGCUUCAUUUCCUUUGCUCCGUUUGUAUCGGCCUCCUCUGCCUCUGUUUCUUCUGGUUCCGCUGCUGAUGCUGCUUCUUCUUCAUCUGCUGCAUGCAGAUAUUCUUCUCCUCCUUAAUUCAUCCACUCGAAAAACUUCAUUUCAUCAUAAACUUUUUCAUACGGCAACGAAAUCGCACAAGGUCGGAGCCUAUAGAUUCGUAUCCGAAUUUUCUUCCAUCUGAUAUGAUACCCACACCUCAAAAUCAACUGUGCUCAAAGAUGGAGACUAGAACCGUGACGGUUUUUUGGCGGAGUUUUGCUGAUUCCGCCCAAUCCCGCAUGAAUUUGGUCUCGGCCCAAGAGAGAAAGUUGAUCACUCUCCUGACGAUCUUUCUACCUAUACUUGAGUUUGUUGAGUGAAUUGAUUUUUUUUUUAAGUUUUUGGUUUGUGGGUUUUUAAUUUUUUUUUUUUUGUGCAGGUAAAGGAAGAACCCAGAAGAAAUAUGUUCACUAAGGGUGCGUUUGGUACGUGGGACGGGACGGGACGGAACGGGACGAGGUGUUCCGUCCCGCGUUUGGUGCGCCAAAAAUGGGUGGAACGGGCUGUUCCACGGGACAGAUUUUGGGUGUUUUUGCGUCCCACCUGCCCCCCUGGAACGAGUUUGUUCCACGUUUGUGGAACACAAUGUUUUACCAUUUUAAGACAAAUAUACCCCAUGUCUUUUUCAAAAAUUACACCUUCGUUCCGUCCCGUCCCGUUCCGUCCCGUCCCAUUCCGUCCCGUCUGCGUACCAAACGCACCCUAAAGGACUUAAUAGGAGCGCCCUUAAUUGGGUUAGAGAGGUUUGUGAAGAAAAUUCAUUACCCUCUUUCUUUUUUCGAAUUAAAAAAAAUAUAAAGUAGGGUUUAAUUUUUACUGUUGUUUGAUUAGUCCUCAGCAGUAUUCGUGGUAUUUUAGUUUUCUGGUGCAAGUCAAAUGGAUCAAGGUUUGUUCCCUUUCACUAAUUUCGUUUCAACUUCUGUUGAAUCUAGAUCAUCAGCUUAAUUUCAAGGAUUAAUUACUCAAAAUUUGAUGAAACCCUAAUUGCAGCUGUGCUAUAUUUCAUCGUUAAAUGUUUAUCCAAUCUCUGUGUGGUGCAUAUAUAUUUAAUUUUUUUAUUUUAUUUCUCUCUUCUCCUUUGUAAUUUUGGUAGGGUUUAGGGUUUAGAUUGUUUGGUUAAAGAUUGGAUCUUUUUACACUGCUUCUCUCUCUGUGUCGAUCGUCUGUCGUGUGAAGAGUUUCUUUUUCUGGCUGAUUGCACUGUUUCAGAUGGUUUCUCUGUUUUUUUUUUCUUUGAAUGGGAAGAAAAUUUGCAGAUCGAUGGCAAAGAAGUAUAGGCUAAAGUUGCCUGAUGUUCUUACCAACCGCAAGUCAGUAUCCCCUGAAAACGAUGCUCUGGCUUUUUUACAAAUUAAGCAUGUAUGCAAAUUGGGAGUGGUUGUCCUGCGAUACUGGUAGUUUGAAAGAGCACUGUUUAACCUUCCCAUCCAUCUCAAACCACACAUUCCUUGAGAGUCGACGGGUAAGAAAGCGAACUAUUUUGUAUUGUGACGAGUCUUAGAUUAGGGAAUUUACCUCAUUAUCCAUUAGAAAAUAUGUAGUCUGAAAUGGAAAAAGCAUAAGAUGGUUGCGGUACAACAUUUUUCACGUGGCAUUCUGUUUAAAGAUUCCAAAAGAACUGGAACCAAACAUAUUCGUUCGGAAAUCAAAGUCUCAUUUGUUAGUUGGUCAUUGCUCUCACAUCUUCGAUCUUCAUCUGUAAUUAAACUCAACCGCAUGUCCUAAUUAUUUGUGCAAUCCGUGUAUUCAUCACCUAGCUAUUUUCCAAUGCUUGGUUUGUGUUAUAUUUCUCUUACAAUGCUACAAUGCAUCAUAUUUCGUGUCCUAAUUAGUAUGCAUCUUUUAAAAAACCGAAUCCAUACCGUUUUGUACCAAAACAAAACCAAUUCUGAAAAGUUUGGUACAACUUCUGCACGCCCUUGCAUACUGAUCUGAACCCUACCAAAUUGUAAUUUGGUUCGGGGUUAGACAGAGUAAUGGUUGAUGAAGGAAGGAGAAUUACACGGUCACGAAAGAGUUUUCACAAGAAAUGUUGUGUACAAAGAUAUUUUGCUUCUAUCAAAUAUAUAAUAAGGUUACAUUGAUUUUAUUAAUGUAUAAUUCACUUUUCAAAUCUACAUAGAUAAAUACAUUUAAAUUGUAUAAGUUGUGCGUAAAACAAUGUCAUUAUAAAAGAGUCUUCUCCAUGUGCGUGAGCGCGUUCAAGGAGACUAGUAAAUCAAUUAAACUAACUGUUAGUGAAUAUAAAUAGACAGUGAAUAUCGCUUCGAUCUAGAAAAUUGAGGGACCUAGGAUAGUUUCACUUACAAGCUACAGCUGCAAAAUAAACCAACAUAGCAGUAUGGAUCAACAAACGAAUGCACCACUCUAACGGCGUCAAUAACAUAAAUUUGAGUCGGAUUGCCACCAAUGUAAUGUAAGAGUCAGUUUGGUUACAAUUAGCACCAGUAAGGACAUCAGUUUGAUGUCGAAUAAAGCUUCCUGCCAGUUUCGGCAUUAUUGUUCUCCACAACCCUGAAACCCAUGGUUGUGUUGAUUCUUUAUCGGGACUAGCUUUUGUGUUUUCAGCUAAAGCAGAAAGAAAAAGAAUCGAGACCAAAGGGGAAAUAAAAUGAAAACUGUUUGGCAUUCCUAAUAUGAUUGUUGAUUCUCUUACAAGUUUUCUCGAUUGGCUUUGGGCAACGUGUAAACUCAUAUUCCCUCUCUUUUCUUUUGUUCUUCAGUCAUCAAACAUUCAUAUCGAUUCACAAUAAGAAUGGUCCAACCACUAAUAACAAUUUAGUUUAGUGAUAUUUUGUCUUUGUAAUUCUAGAAGUCGAGUUCUUGUCUCAUGGGUUAAAUCGCUAAAUAAGAAUGUUGUCGAUAAGGUUGGUAACAUUGUUUCUUGUUACUUUUUUUCUACCUGAUUUGGUUUCCCUUAUAUUUUGGAUCCCUACAAUUGUGAAGUUACCCAUUUUGAUGCAAAAUGGGGGCAGGGUACUUAUGCUUUUUGUUUUGGAGAGAUAGUCUCAUCUUAUCCAACUCAUGUGUCAAUCUUUUAUUGAAUAUAAGAUUUAGUUUUUAAAAGCGUAAACAACGUUCAUUGGGUGAGUGACGUCACUAAAACUCUGCACACAAUGCAAAAGAGACCCUCUGGUUAGUUUGACAAGUAAUUCCUGUUCAGUCAAAAGAGAUAAAUAAUGUGGCUUAGUAAGCAUUGGAUAGAUCAUGCUUGUGAGAGUAGUAGGAGGUCUUGUUCGUUGCUCAUUGACCAUUACUUGCUUUAUUCCUUGAUUUUUAAAAAAUUAUUGCCUGGGACAUGAACAUCAGGUUAAUUAUUGCAUAUGUCAGUAUUGUGUUAACUUUGAUGAAAUUACAUCUAUAUGUGCGGUAGGAAUCAAAUUGAUCAACAUUAUACAUUAUACGAGGUAUGACGAUAAUUGAUAACGCCACGUAAUACUCUAGCUACAAAUAUUAAAACAUUUCCCUAAUAUCACGCCGUUCCUCACGUUUUGCAUCCACGCACAAGCAAAUGUGAAAGACGUCAUCGAUUGAUUUCAAACGUAAAUGAUGAAACUGAUGACCCAAGGAUAAACUGCAAAAUAAUUGGAUCGCAUCACACAUUGGCAAUACUAUAUAGUACGUCACGUGUCGGAAAAGUCAGUUGUUGGAAGCAGCCUACCAACAGGCUACAUGUAACCACGUUACUGUCUGAGGGAGAGGAGUGGGACCAACUCAGUUUCCUCAUCGAGCAAAAUAACUGAAGUUAACAAGUGUCACGCGUCCGUUAGAUAAUGACUUAUUUUAUUUUAUUUUUGUUAAUUAAUGAAAAAUACAGUUGCUCCGCAACUCACUCUCUUCUCUUGUUGAGUGAUUUGAGGACCAGUCUCUUCUCACUUGAUCAGCCUCUGAAUUCUGGUCAACCCCCAAAUGACGAUCUUGUCCUUCUUCACCAGAGCACAAGAGCUUUCAAUGGCUGCCCACCCUGUUGCCUCCAAGCUUCUGGUGCUCUGUACUAUCAGGUUCUCAGUUUUCUUGUUUACCAUGUUAUUUUCUUUUCGAUCUGUUUGGCUUCUGAGAAAAAUGCAUGACAAGAAAAUGAGUUGGGUUGAAAUAUUUUCUAUCAUAGCGUAUAAAGACACAUUCUUUUUUAGUUUUGGUUGUAUUUCAACGAAGCAUCAUUUUUUUCCUAGUUCAGGCAAAAUGUCAUAGCUCAUAAGCUCUGAAUCUAAAUUUUUCUUUGAAUCUCAGUUUUCUAAGCCAACAGACGCUAGACUUUGUUUGGUUACUGAGAAAAAUAGGCUGCAAAUGUUUGUUUUGGAGUCCUAGCUAUGCUGACUUUAUUUAAUUAGAGAAAAUAGACUCCAAAAUGUAUGCUCAGUAGCCUACAGGCCCCACCCCGUUUCCACUGAGAACCCUAGAAAUUUAUAUAGUGAAUAAUUUCUAAAAUCUACAGGCCCCAUCCCGUCUCCACCGAGUGCCCUAGAAAAUUGAACCUUUCCUCUCCCCAGCUGUUUUUGGCUUCGUAUGUGGAUUAUUUUUCCCUAUGAUUAUGGCUUUCGAAUUCAAUCAAAUUAGCUAUCUUCUGUUCCCAGCGCAUUUCGCGGCCGAGCUGGAAUUAAAGAAAUCGGCAGGCAAACGCAAAGCCCUGCUAAUCAAUUUGUUGUUGGAGGAUUUAGAUUGUGUACUGAUUAAUUUGUUUGCAGGAGGAUCAAUUGGUACAAACAAGGAUCGAAACAAGAGGAUGUUUGGUGGAGAAAAUGGCAUGCGAAAAUCAUUACCUUCGAUUAAUCAUGUCUUGAUGGGUUCAGAUUGUACAAAUUUUUUUAUUGGAAUUCAGGCCAAAAACGGACGUCUACUUGUCUAUGAAUGUUGUAAACUUUGUUGUAAUCGGAAUUUGAAAAUUUUAACAUAUUUUUGUUUUUGUGAUCAAUUUUUGUUAGUUAAACUUGUAUGGAUCGGAAAAGAUUAUGAUAAUUAUCAACAUUUAAGCUCAAAGCGUCACUAACACAUGAACCAAAAUUUGUAUUAGAGUAAUGCUAGAAAUACCAUAUUUCUAAACCAAAUUUUGUAACCAAAUGAUGUGAAUGUUGAUGAUUGGAUUUUUACUUGAAUGUUUUUAAUGUGCUUAUUUCCUAUUUGUUCCACAUUAUUUAAUUUAAACAAUUUGGUUUAGAAAUUUGGUCGUCCUAGCAUUACCAGUUGCAAUAAGCAUGAGUGCUUAGUACGGUACAUUAGCUUGAAGUUGAAGCAAUCUAACUCGAACAUGUUCUAAACCUAACUCAUACCUCCAUCUCUUCUCGGGUUUUGGAUAUGUGAUGCCUCCAGGGUUUACACAUUGUAGACUAUAGAGUAUUGAUGAAUUUGAACAGAACCGUAACCGUAGAGUAUUGAUGAAUUUGAAUAGAACCGCAAUACUAUCAGAAGCUUUGACAGAGGGAGGCCAAUGUUCAUGCCCUUUCCCAUGCAUUUAAGUUUCCAAAGACUUUGUUCAUUUUCCAGCUAAUGAACCGUAUGUGAAGGGUUGAAUAGUUGACUUAGUUGAUUUGCAAUGAUCAUCACAAAAAGGGCAUAUAGGUUAAGUUCCAGUAACAUGCAUACGGUAAAUCUUUGCCUGCCUGCUGAAUUCUUUGUGCAGCCAUGAAUACCAAACCAAACUCAAAGUUCGUGUUCUCCGUUAUUUUAUUAUGUGCAUUUCUCGAGUACCAUGUUUACCUAGCAGCUGCCACGAUCAGCGAAAACCAUUCUCUCUCGGGCAAUCAAACCAUUGUCUCCCCAGGUAGGAUUUUUGAGCUCGGUUUCUUCAAACCAGGUAAACUUUCAAACUUCUACAUAGGCAUGUGGUACACCGACCGAGUAGUAUCCGAGAGGACCAUUGUUUGGGUGGCAAACAGGGAAAACCCAGUUUCCGAUAUAUUUUCUUCAGUUCUAAUGAUUUCAGAUGGUAAUUUAGUCCUGCUUAACUAGUCCAAAGCGAUUGUUUGGUCAACGAAUUUAACCUCCUCCUCCUCCGCCACUGCAUGUCUUUUGGAUACCGGAAACCUGGUCUUGAGAGCCGAGUCUAGUAAUAGUUCAGAGCCGUUAUGGCAGAGCUUUGAUCAUCCAACGCAUACUUGGCUGCCAGGAGGUAGAAUUAGGUUUAACACUGUUACCAAACAAACCCAAAUUCUUACUUCAUGGAAGAGUUCGGAGGAUCCUGCACCAGGUCUUUUCUCGCUCGAGUUAGACCCGAACGGAAGCAGUGCGUUUUUCAUAAUGUGGAAUAGGUCUAGGCAGAAUUGGACUAGUGGAUCAUGGGAUGCAAAAUUAAGGGUUUUCCGCUUGGUAAGUACGGGGCUCAAUAAAAAAAUAUACAACCUCAGCUAUGUUACCAACGCAACCGAAGGUUAUUUCACCCAUUCUGUUUAUGAUCCUAGGAGAAUAUCUCGAUUCGUGUUGCUUACUUCGGGCCAGAUUCAACAGCUGACAUGGAUUGAGAAUUCCACGCAAUGGAAUUUGGUUUGGUCUCAACCGAGAAAGCAAUGUGAAGUUUAUGAUUUGUGUGGGGCCUUCGGAAGUUGCAAUGAGGAAGGUCCCCUCGCCUGUAAUUGCUUGAAAGGUUUUGAGCCGAAGGUGAUGAGAGAUUGGGAUUUAAAGGACUACUCUGGUGGGUGUUCGAGAAAAACCGAUCUGCAUUGUGGAAAUGCUACUACUGCGAGCAGAAAGCCAGACCGGUUUCUUGAACUUCCUAGCAUGUCAUUGCCUAAAAAUAAUUACACUAUGGAGGUUGGGAGUAUUGCGGAAUGUGAACCGUUCUGCCUUAGAAGCUGUUCUUGCACUGCUUUUGCUUAUGACAGCAGCGGAUGUUCGAUUUGGAACGGAGAACUCUUGGAUUUGCAACAACCAACAUCAAGUGACAAACAAGGAAGAACUUUAUACCUCAGACUUGCAGCUUCUGAGUUUGAGAGUUCUCAAAGUAACAAGGGAUUGAAUGUUGGUGUUGUGAUUGCAAUUGUCUCAAUAAUCACAGGUUUGCUGGUUGUCAUUUUUGGCUAUUACUUACGGAAGAAAACAUUGGAAAAGAAAAGAGAGCAUAGGAAAAGAAAUGGUGAAAAGAACGAUGCAGAACUGCCUAUCUUUGGUUUAAGGGCUAUAAUAGCUGCUACAAACAAUUUCGCCGAAGCUAAUAAACUCGGAGAGGGAGGAUUUGGCCCUGUCUACAAGGUGACACUUCCAUUGUGUACUCUAAAUACUAUUAUAUUUUUCUUCUCAUACACCCUUGUUUAUUUAUAAUUUUUGAAUCGAAUAAUUCCAAAAAGACGAAUCACGGGACAAAUUACACAUAGAUGUGAGAAGAAAAAAGGGUGUUCAAAAAUAAUUUUAUCCUUUAAAAAUUACGACCGUUCCUUUUUGCUUUUACAAACUUUUCUCUUGUGCACUUUUCUUCCUCUGUACAGGGAAUUUUGGGUGAAAAUCAAGAAGUAGCCAUAAAAAGGUUAUCAAAAAAGUCAGGCCAAGGACAACAGGAGUUCAUGAAUGAGUUAAAACUUAUUGCUAAGCUCCAACAUACCAAUCUCGUUAGGCUAUUGGGUUGCUGUCUUGAAGACGAGGAAAUGAUAUUGAUCUACGAGUACAUGCCCAAUCGGAGUUUGGACAAACUUUUGUUUGGUAUGUGUACUUAUAUAUAUGCAUGAUAAUGACGUAUUGAUUCUUUGUUUCUGCAAAUUGUUUUCCUUGUGUUUAAAUGCCGUGUACUGCAAGAUCAAAUGCACCGUGUCCAACUUUUGAUCUAAAAGGAAAUUAAAGAAAAACACUUGCUCAUCUUUCUUCAUGGUUUUUCCAAUCAUCAGAUGCAUCUGAAAAAGGAGAACUAGAUUGGGGAAGACGUUUUCAAAUUAUAGACGGCAUUGCUCAAGGAGUACUUUAUAUCCACAAGUACUCGAGAUUGAAAAUCAUCCACAGGGACCUAAAAGCAAGUAACAUACUGUUGGAUGGAACCUUGAACCCCAAAAUUUCAAACUUUGGAAUGGCAAGAAUUUUCGGGAUGAAUUAGACUGAAGCAAAUACAAAUAGGGUUGUUGGCACAUAGUAAGUCUACAUAUAUCUCGCACACGUUUUCAUUCAAGUAAUGUUCUAUUGCUUACUUCUAUACAUACUGUCUAUUCAUGUGCAGCGGUUACAUGUUACCCGAAUAUGCGAGAUAUGGUCAUUUCUCUGAGAAAUUAGAUGUAUUUAGCUUUGGAGUGUUGUUAUUGGAGAUUGUAAGCGGAAAGAAGAAUGCUGAUUUUUAUCGCUUUGAACAUUCAUCGACUCUUGCUGGAUGGGUAAGCACUGAAAAAUUACUCUAACUCAUUAUCAUUAUGUUUUUAAGCCUUCCAUAUUCGCAAAUGACCGUAAGUUCAACAUUUUUAUUAGGCAUGGGAGAUAUGGAAAGACGGAAGAGGAACGAAGGUGAUUGAUGAAUCAGUAAGGGAAACAUGCCUGCUUGAUGAAGCUUUGAAGUGCAUCCAUGUAGGGUUUUUGUGUGUUCAAGAAGCUCCAGCUGAUCAACCAACAAUGUCUUCAAUAAUUCGUAUGCUGCAGGGCAAUGAAUCUACAUCUCUUCCAUCUUCCAAAGAACCUGCCUUUUCAACACACAGAAAUUCCAGUCAUGUUCACUCUUCUGAAACGCCUACCAUUUUUUCCCAAAACACAGUCACCAUGAGUUUGCCAGAAGGUCGAUAGGCAUUGGAAGAGCAAUGACUGGCAAGCAGUUUAGAAAAUAGUAUAGUAUAUUAGAAUAAACACCCCGACG